rnacentral:rRNA from 1 species
GAUGAACGCUGGCGGCGUGCCUAACACAUGCAAGUCGAGCGAGAAUCUUGGAGAAGACACUUCGGUAGACUCUGUAAGAGGAAAGCGGCGGACGGGUGAGUAACGCGUAGGCAACCUGCCCCAUACAGGGGGAUAGCAUCGGGAAACCGGUAUUAAAACCCCAUAAAGCGUGGGAAACUCCUGUUUUCUACGGCGAAGAUUUAUCGGUAUGGGAUGGGCCUGCGUCUGAUUAGUUAGUUGGUGAGGUAACGGCUCACCAAGGCAGUGAUCAGUAGCCGACCUGAGAGGGUGAUCGGCCACAUUGGAACUGAGACACGGUCCAAACUCCUACGGGAGGCAGCAGUGGGGAAUAUUGCACAAUGGGCGCAAGCCUGAUGCAGCAACGCCGCGUGAACGAGGAAGGCCUUUGGGUCGUAAAGUUCUGUCCUAGGGGAAGAAAGCCAUGACGGUACCCUUGGAGGAAGCCCCGGCUAACUACGUGCCAGCAGCCGCGGUAAUACGUAGGGGGCAAGCGUUAUCCGGAAUUAUUGGGCGUAAAGAGUACGUAGGUGGUGCUUUAAGCGCGAGGUUUAAGGCAAUGGCUUAACCAUUGUAUGCCUGGCGAACUGGAGGACUUGAGUACAGGAGAGGAAAGCGGAAUUCCUAGUGUAGCGGUGAAAUGCGUAGAUAUUAGGAGGAACACCAGCGGCGAAGGCGGCUUUCUGGACUGCAACUGACACUGAGGUACGAAAGCGUGGGGAGCAAACAGGAUUAGAUACCCUGGUAGUCCACGCCGUAAACGAUGAGCACUAGGUGUCGGAGUCGCAAGGCUUCGGUGCCGCAGUUAACGCAUUAAGUGCUCCGCCUGGGGAGUACGUUCGCAAGAAUGAAACUCAAAGGAAUUGACGGGGACCCGCACAAGCAGCGGAGCAUGUGGUUUAAUUCGAAGCAACGCGAAGAACCUUACCAGGACUUGACAUCCUUCUGACGGAUCCUUAAUCGGAUCGUUCUUCGGACAGAAGAGACAGGUGGUGCAUGGUUGUCGUCAGCUCGUGUCGUGAGAUGUUGGGUUAAGUCCCGCAACGAGCGCAACCCUUGUCAUUAGUUGCCAGUAUUGAGUUAGGCACUCUAGUGAGACUGCCGGGGACAACUCGGAGGAAGGUGGGGAUGACGUCAAAUCAUCAUGCCCCUUAUGUUCUGGGCUACACACGUGCUACAAUGGUUGGUACAAAGAGAAGCGAGACCGUGAGGUGGAGCGAAUCUCAAAAACCAGCCCCAGUUCGGAUUGUAGGCUGCAACUCGCCUACAUGAAGAUGGAGUUGCUAGUAAUCGUGAAUCAGAAUGUCACGGUGAAUGCGUUCCCGGGUCU